UACGGAAGGGGCAAGCGUUGUUCGGAAUCAUUGGGCGUAAAGGGCGCGUAGGUGGUUCUGUAUGUCUACCGUGAAAGCGUACGGCUCAACCGUAUUUUGUCGGUGGAAACUGCAGGACUUGAGGCUGGGAGGGGCUGGUGGAAUUCCCUGUGUAGCGGUGAAAUGCGUAGAGAUGGGGGAGAACACUCGUGGCGAAGGCGGCUUUCUGGACAGAUACCGACGCUGAGGCACGAAAGCUAGGGGAGCAAACAGG
rnacentral:rRNA from 1 species